rnacentral:rRNA from 1 species
UACGAAGGUGGCAAGCGUUGUCCGGAUUCACUGGGCGUACAGGGUGUGUAGGCGGUUUGGUAAGCCUUCUGUUAAAGCUUCGGGCCCAACCCGGAAAGCGCAGAGGGUACUGCCAGGCUAGAGGACGGGAGAGGAGCGCGGAAUUCCCGGUGUAGCGGUGAAAUGCGUAGAGAUCGGGAGGAAGGCCGGUGGCGAAGGCGGCGCUCUGGAACGUUUCUGACGCUGAGACACGAAAGCGUGGGGAGCAAACAGG